rnacentral:rRNA from 1 species
UACGGGGGGAGCAAGCGUUGUUCGGAUUUACUGGGCGUAAAGGGCGCGUAGGCGGUCAGCACGAGUCAGUUGUGAAAUCUCCGGGCUUAACCCGGAAAGGUCAACUGAUACUGCGGGGCUAGAGUGCAGAAGGGGCAACUGGAAUUCUCGGUGUAGCGGUGAAAUGCGUAGAUAUCGAGAGGAACACCUGCGGCGAAGGCGGGUUGCUGGGCUGACACUGACGCUGACAGCGCGAAAGCUAGGGGAGCGAACGGG